GUCUACAGCCAUAUCACCCUGACCACACCCAAUCUCACCUGAUCUUGGAAGCUAAGUGGGGUCUGGCCUGAUUAAUAAUUGGAAGGGAGAAUGCUAGUUUUUUAAAAC
rnacentral:rRNA from 1 species